rnacentral:rRNA from 1 species
GAUUAACGCUGGCGGCGUGCCUAACACAUGCAAGUCGAGCGGCAGCGCGAUUUGCACUGUAUUCUGGCAGCUGCGAGUUGCGAGAGAAGAUUAAUUCAAGAAUUUUGUGUAAAGUGUCGGCGAGCGGCGGACGGCUGGGUAACGCGUGGGAACGUACCCCAAAGCGCGGGAUAACGCAGUGAAAGGUGUGCUAAUUGCGCCUAUGGUCUUCGGCUUAAAGGCUUCGGGCGCUUUGGGAACGGCCUGCUUAAGAUUAGAUGGUUGGUAGGGUAAUGGCCUACGAGGGGGACGAUGGUUAACUGGGUUGAGAGGCAGAGCAGUCAGACUUGAACUGAGACACGGUACAGACUCCUACGGGAGGGAGGAGUGAGUGAUCGUGCACAAUGGGGGAAAGGCUGAUGGUGCAAGGCCGCGUGCAGGAUGAAGGUAUUCGGGUUGUAAACUGCUAUUAUAAGUGCGGAUUAUGACAGUAACUUAUGAAUAAGGAUCGGCUAACUACGUG